AAAAAAGCAAACCAUGAGUUUUCGUGUCCAACUUUGACUGUCUGUCUUAUAUGAAAUUUUUUUAUAAUUCGUAUUUUCAUUCUUAUUAGAUGAUAAAACAUGAUUAAUAUUUUAUGCGUGACUUCUCUUUUUAAUUUUUUUUAUAACUUUUUUAAAUAAGACGAACGGUCAAACAUUGGACACGAAAACCAGGGUUUGUCUUUUU
rfam:Oryza nivara chromosome 2, whole genome shotgun sequence.